UACGUAGGUGGCAAGCGUUAUCCGGAAUUAUUGGGCGUAAAGCGCGCGUAGGCGGUUUUUUAAGUCUGAUGUGAAAGCCCACGGCUCAACCGUGGAGGGUCAUUGGAAACUGGAAAACUUGAGUGCGGAAGAGGAAAGUGGAAUUCCAUGUGUAGCGGUGAAAUGCGCAGAGAUAUGGAGGAACACCAGUGGCGAAGGCGACUUUCUGGUCUGUAACUGACGCUGAUGUGCGAAAGCGUGGGGAUCAAACAGGAUUAGAUACC
rnacentral:rRNA from 1 species